CUGUAGCCGUACGACACAGUGGAACAUUCAUAUGUUAAAAUAUUAAUCUUAUCUACCUUUUAAAUGGAGUAACUUUGAAAUUAUGUUUUUUUAAAACGAAAUAACACAUUCGUAACUUUAUUAAGACCGUACGAAGACAGACUCGAGUUUAAGGACCGUGAAAAAGAAGAAUCUUGGCGACCAGUUUACAGUUCUUAUGAUGACCGUAUAAAGCCAAUCAAAAACAAGGACAAAUAUGAAGAUAAGUUUCUAAUACAAACUGGGAGACCACAUUUUCCUGGACUAUACACGUUUCCAUACUAUUUUUGGGAAAGUUAUUACAGGCCAACUUAUUCAUACCCAGAAUUUAAUUACUUCAUCAAAAAGGAAAUCAAAGAAAAGCCGGUCCUCAAGACGGAAUAAACUAUCACCGAUCAUUUUUAAAGUUCAUUUGUUUUAUUAUUUUAUACGUGAAAUAGGUAAAGUUUGUAAUAUUUAAAUAAAAUUUUGAAAUAUAUACAUUU